GGUUAAGCGACUAAGCGUACACGGUGGAUGCCCUGGCAGUCAGAGGCGAUGAAGGGCGUGCUAAUCUGCGAUAAGCGCCGGUAAGGUGAUAUGAACCGUUAUAACCGGCGAUACCCGAAUGGGGAAACCCAGUGUGACUCGUCACACUAUCAUUAACUGAAUCCAUAGGUUAAUGAGGCGAACCGGGGGAACUGAAACAUCUAAGUACCCCGAGGAAAAGAAAUCAACCGAGAUUCCCCCAGUAGCGGCGAGCGAACGGGGAGGAGCCCAGAGCCUGAAUCAGCAUGUGUGUUAGUGGAAGCGUCUGGAAAGGCGCGCGAUACAGGGUGACAGCCCCGUACACAAAAGCGCAUGUGCUGUGAGCUCGAUGAGUAGGGCGGGACACGUGGUAUCCUGUCUGAAUAUGGGGGGACCAUCCUCCAAGGCUAAAUACUCCUGACUGACCGAUAGUGAACCAGUACCGUGAGGGAAAGGCGAAAAGAACCCCGGCGAGGGGAGUGAAAAAGAACCUGAAACCGUGUACGUACAAGCAGUGGGAGCCCCACCACUAAGCCAGUGGUGAACUCCACAUACGCAUCCUUUGCUGAGGAUACGGUUAACGGAGCGAAAGCGACGUUCAACCGCAAAAGAAGCAGAGGGGGCUUAGUGGUGGGGUGACUGCGUACCUUUUGUAUAAUGGGUCAGCGACUUAUAUUCUGUAGCAAGGUUAACCGAAUAGGGGAGCCGGAGGGAAACCGAGUCUUAAU
rnacentral:rRNA from 2 species